GUGCGUGAGGUGUAACUGGUUGCACAGCAGCUUGCCAUGCUGCAGGAAGCGGGUUCGAGCCCCGUCAUGCACUC
rnacentral:tRNA from 1 species